UACGAAUGGGUGCAAACGUUGCUCGGAAUCAUUGGGCGUAAAGCGCACGUAGGCGGCGAAGCAAGUCGGGUGUGAAAGCCCUGGGCUCAACCCAGGAAGUGCAUUCGAAACUAUUUCGCUUGAAUCUCGGAGGGGGUCAGAGAAUUCCCGGUGUAGAGGUGAAAUUCGUAGAUAUCGGGAGGAAUACCAGUGGCGAAGGCGCUGACCUGGACGAAGAUUGACGCUGAGGUGCGAAAGCGCGGGGAGCAAACAGG
rnacentral:rRNA from 1 species